AGCAGCCGCGGUAAUUCCAGCUCCAAUAGCGUAUAUUUAAGUUGUUGCAGUUAAAAAGCUCAUAGUUGAAUUUCGGGACCAAUCAGCCGGUCGUGCCUCCGGUACGCACUGGUUUUAUUGGUUUCUCCCUUCUGACGAACCAUGAUGUCAUUAAUUUGGUGUCAUGGGGAAUCAGGACUGUUACUUUGAAAAAAUUUAGAGUGUUUAUAGCAGGCUCACGCUUGAAUACAUUAGCAUGGAAUAAUGAAAUAGGACGUUUGACCCUAUUUUGUUGGUUUCUAGGAUCGACGUAAUGAUUAAUAGGGAUAGUUGGGGGCAUUAGUAUUCAAUUGUCAGAGGUGAAAUUCUUGGGUUUAUUGAAGACUAACUACUGCGAAAGCAUUUGCCAAGGAUGUUUUCAUUAAUCAAGAACGAAAGUUAGGGGAUCGAAGACGAUCAGAUACCGUCGUAGUCUUAACCAUAAACUAUGCCGACUAGGGAUCGGAUGAUGUUAAUUUUUUAAUGACUCAUUCGGCGCCUU
rnacentral:rRNA from 1 species